rnacentral:rRNA from 1 species
ACGGAAGGCAGCAGUAGGGAAUAUUGCACAAUGGGGGGAACCCUGAUGCAGCAACGCCACGUGUGGGAAGACGCAUUUCGGUGUGUAAACCACUGUCGUGAGGGAAUAAGGCUACUUUCCGGAGUAGUUGAAUGUACCUUGAAAGGAAGCACCGGCAAACUUCGUGCCAGCAGCCGCGGUAAUACGAGGGGUGCAAGCGUUGUUCGGAAUCACUGGGCGUAAAGGGAGCGCAGGCGGAGAUGCAAGCGGACUGUACAAUACCGGGGCCCAACCCCGGACCUGCAGUCCGGACUGCACCUCUUGGAUAGUUCAGGGGCAGGCGGAAUUCCUGGUGUAGCGGUGGAAUGCGUAGAGAUCAGGAAGAACACCGACGGCGAAGGCAGCCUGCUGGGGACUCAUCGACGCUGAGGCUCGAAAGUGCGGGUAGCAAACAGGAUUAGAUACCCUGGUA